rnacentral:rRNA from 1 species
CAGUUUGAUUCUGACUGAAAAAUUAAUUAUUAUCAACCAAUAUACAUGUAAACAAUAACUAACCCGCAAAAACUCAAAUUCUAAAAGACCAGAUAAUCGUAUUUAGAUCAUUCUUCAUAUGAAAGAGCGCCACAGUAAAUAACACUUUUCAAUUUGUAAAUCAAGAAAAGAGUAUGAUAUAAGGGCUGGCAAAAUUCGUGCCAGCUGCCGCGGUUAGACGAUAAGCCCAAAUUAAUACAGUAUAGGCUAAAUUAAUGGUAUAUUAAACAACCAUAAAAGUCUAAUUUAUAAAAUUCUCGACCCACAUAUACCGCAUAAAAAUGAAAUCAUGACCUAAAACAUGGAUUAGAUACCCAUCUAUUUAUGACAUAAAUAGACAGCUGAAUAUUACGAAUACCAAUUUAAAAUUCAAAGAUUUUGGCGGUGUCUUAUAAAACCAGGGGAACCUGUCUCAUAACUCGAUAAUCCACGAUCAACACAACCUUCUCUAGAUAUACAGCUUGUGUACUGCCGUUGUAAGCAUACCUCUAAAAGAAUAAGUGUGCUACUAUGAUUAUUAUUUAACUCAUAUACAUCAGGUCAAAGUGCAGCCAAUAAGAAGGUGAUGAUGGGUUACAACCCAGAAAAAGACUAUCAAAUAAGAAAUUAAAAAUCUUACGAAAGUGGACUUGGCCGUAAUUAAUAAAUAAAUUAAAGAAAUGAACAACAAUCUAAGACAUGCACACAUCGCCCGUCACUCUAUCCUAAAGGCUAGAUAAGUCGUAACAAAGUAGGUGUAAUGGAAAUUGUACCUGU